GUAGGGUAUUGGCUUCCCGUGGCAGUGACGGUUAACGGGGGAUUAGGGUUCGAUUCCGGAGAGGGAGCCUGAGAAACGGCUACCACAUCUAAGGAAGGCAGCAGGCGCGCAAAUUACCCAAUCCUAACAGCAUAAGGGAGGUAGUGACAAGAAAUAACAAUACAAGGCAAUUAAAAUGCUUUGUAAUUGGAAUGAUAGAAAUUUAAACACUUUCUAAAGUAUCAAUUGGAGGGCAAGUCUGGUGCCAGCAGCCGCGGUAAUUCCAGCUCCAAUAGCGUAUAUUAAAGUUGUUGCAGUUAAAAAGCUCGUAGUUGGAUUUCUGUUAAAAAUAACCGGUCUGCUUUUUUAUUAAAGUGGUACCUUGGUGUGUUUUUAGCAUUAAUGUCCUAUGAAAUGUUUUUUACUUUAUUGUUAAAAACAAUAUUCAGGAUUUUUACUUUGAGAAAAUUAGAGUGUUUCAAGCAGGCUAACGUUUUGAAUACUGCAGCAUGGAAUAAUAAAAUAAGAUUUUGGUUCUACAUUAUUGGUUUUAAGAACUAAAUUAAUGAUUAAUAGGGACAGUUGGGGGCAUUUGUAUUUGACU
rnacentral:rRNA from 1 species